GGAUCCAGACUUUGAUUAUGGCUCAGGAUGAACGCUGGCGGCGUGCCUAACACAUGCAAGUCGAACGAAGCUUGACGGAUGAUUUCUUCGGAAUGAAACCAGAUAUGACUUAGUGGCGGACGGGUGAGUAACACGUGAGCAACCUGCCUUUCAGAGGGGGAUAACGGCUGGAAACGGUCGCUAAUACCGCAUGAUGUGUUCGGAUGGCAUCAUCUGAACAUCAAAGAUUUAUCGCUGAAAGAUGGGCUCGCGUCUGAUUAGAUAGUUGGUGGGGUAACGGCCUACCAAGUCGACGAUCAGUAGCCGGACUGAGAGGUUGAACGGCCACAUUGGGACUGAGAUACGGCCCAGACUCCUACGGGAGGCAGCAGUGGGGAAUAUUGCACAAUGGGGGAAACCCUGAUGUAGCAACGCCGCGUGAAGGAUGACGGUUUUCGGAUUGUAAACUUCUUUUCUUAGUGACGAAGACAGUGACGGUAGCUAAGGAAUAAGCAUCGGCUAACUACGUGCCAGCAGCCGCGGUAAUACGUAGGAUGCAAGCGUUAUCCGGAUUUACUGGGUGUAAAGGGAGCGCAGGCGGGACUGCAAGUUGGAUGUGAAAUACCGUGGCUUAACCACGGAACUGCAUCCAAAACUGUAGUUCUUGAGUGAAGUAGAGGCAAGCGGAAUUCCGAGUGUAGCGGUGAAAUGCGUAGAUAUUCGGAGGAACACCAGUGGCGAAGGCGGCUUGCUGGGCUUUAACUGACGCUGAGGCUCGAAAGUGUGGGGAGCAAACAGGAUUAGAUACCCUGGUAGUCCACACUGUAAACGAUGAUAGCCAGGUGUGGGGGGUCUGACCCCUUCCGUGCCGGAGUUAACGCAAUAAGCUAUCCACCUGGGGAGUACGACCGCAAGGUUGCAACUCAAAGGAAUUGACGG
rnacentral:rRNA from 1 species